AAGUCGUAACAAGGUUUCUGUAGGUGAACCUGUGGAAGGAUCAUUAUUGAAUAUUCUCGAUGGGUUGUAGCUGGCUCCUCGGAGCAUGUGCAUGCCUGUCUUGACUCUAUUCAUCCACCUGUGCACCUAUUGUAGUCUCAUUCGAAGGGUAGUCAGUCGGCAAGACCAGAUGUGAGGGAUGCAGUGCGAAAGUGCGGCACCUCUCUGGCUCUCGGUGGACUAUGUCUUUAUUCAUAAACCAUAUGUAGUAUGUUGCAGAAUGUAAUCAAUGGGCCUUUGUGCCUAUAAAAACCUUAUACAACUUUCAGCAAUGGAUCUCUUGGCUCUCA
rnacentral:misc_RNA from 1 species